GGAUGGCACACAUUAUAUGAUUUAUACACCAUCUGAUCCACUUCUAUUUGUUGCUGUCAAGAAUCAGAAUGGAAUGCUGCAAAUUGCUGAUGACGAUCUCCUGGACGACCCCGUUAUCACGAGUGCCGUCGAUCAGGAAACCGAGUUUAAUGCCUUGGUGG